rnacentral:misc_RNA from 1 species
UUGUUGCUAUUAAACUCCCUAUUUCCAUUCUCAUCUUGUGUAUUCCCUGUGAAGUAUCGAACCAACAAUGCUACAAGAACAAGGAAAGCAACAGCCAGACCGACUUUGCCUAUGGAUGAAGUGAGCUUAUUAAGCCUAGCCUGCAAAGGUGUCUGUUCAUUGGUGUCGCGGCUGAUAUGGCUCAUCAUUUCUCCCCAUGUUGUGUUCAUUCCCACUGAUGUAACAAGCAUUCUGCCAUAGCCAUCCGCAACCUUGGUGCCAGAGAACAAGAAUGGGUUUUGGUUGUGAUUAACUUCUACAUGGUCACUUUCCCCUGUCAUGCUGGAUUCAUCAAUUUGGAAGGAAUGCCCAUCUAUGAACAAUCCAUCAGCAGGGACUUGGUCCCCAAUAUUGAGGCAAACAACAUCUCCCACAACAAGUUCAAAUAUUGAGACCUGUUGUCUCCUACCUCGUCUUACAGCAUCAAUUUGAAUAUUGUUGCUGACUUUGGAUAACUUAUCAAAUUGUCUAUUUUGCCUGUAAUUGGUUACAGCAGAGACUACGAUGACAAGAAACACAGCAACAAAAAUGCUUCCACCAUCAUACCAACCUUCCUUUAAACCAUGUUCCUUAAUACCGAAGCCAAGAGAAAGUGCUGCACAGGCUAAAAGAAUGGCAAUGGUAAGAUCUUUAAAAGCUUCUACCACAAAAUGGAAAAAGCUCUUUGUCGGUGGUUUCUUAUAGGUGUUGGAGCCAAAUG